AGAGAAUAGAUACCCGGGUAGUCCACGCUGUAAACGAUGAUUACUCGAUGUUGGCGAUACACAGUCAGCGUCUGAGCGAAAGCAAUAAGUAAUCCACCUGGGGAGUACGAUCGCAAGAUUGAAACUCAAAGGAAUUGACGGGGGCCCGCACAAGCGGAGGAGCAUGUGGUUUAAUUCGAUGAUACGCGAGGAACCUUACCUGGGCUCGAACGUAAGAUGACUGUAGGUGAAAAGCUUACAUCUCUUCGGAGCAUUUUACGAGGUGCUGCAUGGUUGUCGUCAGCUCGUGCCGUGAGGUGUCGGGUUAAGUCCCAUAACGAGCGCAACCCCUACCUUUAGUUGCCAACAGGUCAUGCUGGGGACUCUAAAGGAACUGCCUACGCAAGUAGUGAGGAAGGCGGGGAUGACGUCAAAUCAGCACGGCCCUUACGUCCAGGGCUACACACGUGCUACAAUGGCCGAUACAGAGGGCAGCUACCUGGUGACAGGAUGCAAAUCUCCAAAGUCGGUCUCAGUUCGGA
rnacentral:rRNA from 1 species